GCCAGACAGCUGAAAGAAGAAACCGCCAUGGCGCGAUCCCUCGCACUGGUGUGUCUCCUUGCUAUGGCCUGCCUCGCACUGUUGGUGGUUACUGAGACGUGUGCGACACCGGAUGGCUACCCAUACAAGGGAUACCCGUAUCCCUAUCCAUACCCUGGGUACUACCCACCUUGGGGCCACAAAUACCCCGGCUGGGGAGUUCCUGGAUACCCCUACACAUACUACGGCUACCCAUACCCGUGGUGAACGGGACGCCCUGCACCAGCUGCUGAUUGGCCAGUACCUUCACAGCGCAGUCCGCAGUUUAAUGCUGCUGCUGUGUACCUGAUAAUUCGCCAGAAUCGCGUGUCCUUAUAAUACAUAUUGUUCUUGUUAUUAUAAUACGUGUAGUUCCUGUUCUGCUGUAGACUGUUAUA